GAUGGGUUUUGUCCGAUGAUAUUGCUUCAGACUAAAAUUAGCAACUUAAUCAGCAGCCGGAAAAGGAGUAACUUCGCUGAUCACGUGUGUUCUUAUGUAAUAUGAUGAUAAGCACGUUUUCUAAGUUUUCCUCACGUGCUUUUCAUGUUUUUUUUUUUUUUUUGUUUUGUUUUUCUGUCAUCACAAGCUCAUGAUUUUGGGUCGGGAUGGAUCCGAAGCCUGUCCCCGGAACUCUGGGCACAAAGCGGAUACGCACCUUUUAUGGGGUGCUAGUCCAUUACAGGUCCAUACUUGUAAAUGCAAUGACUAGACAGGGACAGGAGGAUGAUGUUAUCACCAGCUGAGCUGAAGAAGAAGAAUAAAAAAGAAGAGCUGUAAACACUUAAUAUUUGGGGUCUCAGAAGUUUGGUGGACAUGACCCCUGGACCUGUUUAAAAUGUUGGGUUCCUUUCAACUCCACUGUGUUUCGGCCUGUAUCUGCAUUGGCACCCUGUCCAGGGUGUACCCCGCCUUGUGCCCCAUGCUCCCUGGGAUAGGCUCCAGGUUUCCCCAUGUCCCUGAAAUGGAUAAGCGGUAUAGAAGAUGGAUGGAUGGAUGGAUGGAUGGUUCUCUACAGCAUGUGCCUAAGACUUUUCCACAGUACUGUAUAUCUAGAGCUCAUAUGCUUGUAAUUAGCUGAUAUUCUAGCAGGCUUUAACUAGCUAUCAAAUAAAGUGCAAUGUUAUGUUUGGUUUUAUUUGACACCUAUUUUUGUACACUGUCCCAAACAAUACGUAAUGGAAGUCUUAUUCACAACAGUUACUUGUCAAAAACAACUAGGUCACGUGAGCAUUUAUGAUUCAGCCAGUAAGGGGUGAGCGGGCAGGUCAAACUGGUUAAGCAUUUACCCAGAUUAUUUCAUUAUAGGACAUAAGCUGACUUUCUUUUGUUUUUAUAAUUGUGUGUCGUCAGAGGCAGCUGUAACAUACGUC
ensembl:lncRNA